UCCCUGGUGCCUCAGAUGGUAAAGCAUCUGCCUACAAUGCAGGAGACCCAGGUUCAAUCCCUGGGUUGGGAA
rnacentral:tRNA from 1 species